rnacentral:lncRNA from 1 species
UCUGCACAACCCAUCUUAUCACAUUAGAUCCUCCAUGCCACCACAAAACGAGAUGGAUAUCCUAGUCCCUCACACAAAGUCUCCUUUCCAAGGGGAGGAAGGGUCAACAAUUUAGCUUUUCGUGAGGGAGUCUUGUUGAAGACUCAAUGUCCAAAUACCCAGACAUCUUCAUUAUCUUUACAACAAACACAAAUGUGUACGAGACAAAAUAGACAACUCACCCAAUGCUAAUCACCGCAUCCCCUAGAGCUAUAUAUACCCACGGCAACGCAAACACAGAUCACACAUCUCCAUACACCUUAACAAUGCAUGGUUUGUAGUACCAAAUAUUCCCCCAUCCUCAACAUUCAUUAACAACCAUAUCCUAGCUUCAUAUAUUGCCCAGAGCUUUUAGUCUAAAUCAUCCCAUCCUCUAUCAUUCUUUCACGGCCAUGCCUUAGCUCCAUAUAUUGUCCAUAGUUUUUAGUCUAAAUCAUCCCCCAUAUCCUCAACAUUCUUUCAAAACCAUGGCCUAGCAACACAUGAUGUCCAUGAGUUCCUAGUUUUUCAUCAGUAUUGUUCAUCUGUUGGAGAGUUUGUUGUGCUUGAUUAAGGAUGACAACCAUGGAAAUGGACAUGUAUAAAAUGGUGGUGCAGGAGAACGGCGAGGUCACAUACCAGCUGACCGA